UUUGACAUGUAAAUUACUAAACCACUUGAGAAUCACUGGACAAGAGCUGUGAGUUCCAGAUAUUGUCUAAAAUCCUUCAGUUGUUAUAAUCUGGGAAAGUCAGGAAAGCAGUAAAACUUGCAGAACCAGUGUCAGAGCUUAUAAGAGAAUCCCGGAGACGAUGGAGAUGACAACCAAAAGCACUUUCUGGGAUUCCAAGAGAUGUGCUAUAUAGUUUCUACCCUCAAAUUGUUUUCAGUUCUCUAAGAUAAGUAACUUCACUGACCUGAAAUGUUUCACAAAUUACAUUAUAUCACAAUGGACAUAGCCAGUGAGUGACAUACUUGCUGAGAAGAUGGGGAGAUGGAGUGAUCAACAAGGGCAAAGUUUUCUCAGAAUUUUUGAUUGAUCACCAGCAGAAAAUUUGAACACUAAGGGGAAAAAAUUACUUUGACUUCAUAAAGAUUAAUUCAGAAUGCAGGAUAAAUUCCUCUCAUGAACAUGGAUAUAUAGCAGUAUCAGAAACAAAGAUGCAUUUGAGCUUUGGAAGAAGAAUUAAGAUUUGAGGAAGGAUUUCAUUUUUCGAAGACUACAUAUACAAUUGUCGUUCUCUUGAAGUGGUUUAGAUUUUCCAAAAGGCGACAUUUCAAGAUGAAGCAAAAUGUGUUCUUUCCUUUUUAUCUCAACAACAACUCUGAAUAAAAUUGUAUCUAAAUUGUGUUACCUGAAAUAAAUGAGACUCCAC
rnacentral:lncRNA from 1 species